UUUCAUGAGAGUUUGAUCCUGGCUCAGGACGAACGCUGGCGGCGUGCCUAAUACAUGCAAGUCGAGCGAACCGACGAAGUGCUUGCACUUCUGACGUUAGCG
rnacentral:rRNA from 1 species